GACAUUGUCCUGAUACACAUCUAUUUUGUUUUGCUCAGUUUUUCUGCAGCACAUUAAUCAGAGGCUGAAACACAGAAACAGAUUGAUGGCCAUAACCUCGACUUCAACAGCAUAUGGGAUGUGUUUGGACAGAAGCAGAGCUCUGGGACGUGUGGACAGACUUUGACUGUAAUGAUAGACGUCUGCUCAAGGACAGAAGCAUAACCACUGCUGGACAUCGCUCUGGGACUCAGGGGGGGACCCGAAUCAUCCUCACCCCUUCAUUCACACAACACUCACUCAUAUCGCAGAGAUCUGGCUGGGAUUGAACCAGCAACCUCUGAACUGUGAGGCAGCGCGCUCACCUGUGAGCCACAGAUCUCUUGCUUGAGCUUGUGCUGGAACUUAUAUUUCACUAUUCACCUGUAUGUGAUUUUACAAUAAACCAGUUAAAGCAUUCAGUUGGGUGAUUGUUGUCUGAUGUGGGA
rnacentral:lncRNA from 1 species